rnacentral:rRNA from 1 species
ACACGUAGGGGGCGAGCGUUGUUCGGAAUCAUUGGGCGUAAAGGGCGCGCAGGCGGCGAGGCAAGUCCGGUGUGAAAGUGCUCGGCUCAACCGAGUGAUGCGCUGGAAACUGCCCUGCUUGAGUACAGGAGGGGACGUCGGAAUUCCAGGUGUAGGGGUGAAAUCUGUAGAUAUCUGGAAGAACACCGGUGGCGAAGGCGGACGUCUGGCCAUGUACUGACGCUGAGGCGCGAAGGUGCGGGGAGCGAACAGGUUUAGAGACCCUGGUAGUCCGCACAGUAAACGAUGUGCACCAGGUGGCGGGGGGUAGCCCUCGGUACCGAAGCCAACGCAUUAAGUGCACCGCCUGGGGAGUAUGCUCGCAAGGGUGAAACUCAAAUGAAUUGACGGGG